rnacentral:rRNA from 1 species
GAUGAACGCUGGCGGCGUGCCUAAUACAUGCAAGUCGAGCGAACAGACGAGGAGCUUGCUCCUCUGACGUUAGCGGCGGACGGGUGAGUAACACGUGGAUAACCUACCUAUAAGACUGGGAUAACUUCGGGAAACCGGAGCUAAUACCGGAUAAUAUAUUGAACCGCAUGGUUCAAUAGUGAAAGACGGUUUUGCUGUCACUUAUAGAUGGAUCCGCGCCGCAUUAGCUAGUUGGUAAGGUAACGGCUUACCAAGGCAACGAUGCGUAGCCGACCUGAGAGAGUGAUCGGCCACACUGGAACUGAGACACGGUCCAGACUCCUACGGGAGGCAGCAGUAGGGAAUCUUCCGCAAUGGGCGAAAGGCUGACGGAGCAACGCCGCGUGAGUGAUGAAGGUCUUCGGAUCGUAAAACUCUGUUAUUAGGGAAGAACAAAUGUGUAAGUAACUAUGCACGUCUUGACGGUACCUAAUCAGAAAGCCACGGCUAACUACGUG